rnacentral:rRNA from 1 species
UACGUAGGGGGCAAGCGUUGUCCGGAAUCAUUGGGCGUAAAGCGCGUGUAGGCGGCCCGAUAAGUCCGCUGUGAAAGUCCAGGGCUCAACCCUGGGAUGCCGGUGGAUACUGUCGGGCUCGAGUCCGGAAGAGGAGUGUGGAAUUCCUGGUGUGAGCGGUGAAAUGCGCAGAUAUCAGGAGGAACACCAAUGGCGAAGGCAGCACUCUGGGACGUGACUGACGCUGAGACGCGAAAGCGUGGGGAGCAAACAGG